AUGGGGUCAGAGCCUGCAGUACCACGUGGUCUCUGCGCUGGCGGUUCAGUACCACGUGGUCUCUGCGCUGGUGGUUCAGUACCACGUGAUCUCCGCGCUGGUGGUUCAGUAGGCUUGAGCAGCACUGACUACUCACCUUCUGAUUUUGACCUCCCACACUGGCUCCUGGGAGGAUGCGUUACUUUUCUUGAGCUAGGAAACUUGAGAUGGCUGAAUUCCUUGACCAGAAGUGCGCCCCUUCCCAAUGACUCGCAGGCUCGCAGCGGGGCUCGGUUUCACACGUCCUAUGACAAAAGAUACGUCAUCAAGACCAUUACCAGCGAGGACGUGGCAGAGAUGCACAACAUUCUCAAGAAGUACCACCAGGUAACGUCCCCUUACCUCUGUUGACCCUUCAUGCCAAAGUGUCAUCAGGGCCAACCCUUGAACUACACUCGGGCAGUGUAACAGACCACAUUUGACAUGAAGGUCUCCUCCAGCCUGGGGUUCCAGAGUGAGUGUGGCCUGAUCCCUGGCCCUUAACAAGAGAAUGCAUAGGCUCCUAUUUACGAAAUAGUCAUCUAAAUUAUUUAAAAUAAAUUUAAUCUAAUUAUGCUCCUACUGAUCCCCAUUCUGGUUGUAAAAAUUGCUUCGCUAAAGAUUUGGCAACUUUCCAGAAGAUCCCUUCUGUGCCAGAAGUCAGAUGUUAACCCCAAGCCUGUAUCUGUUUACGCUACUGAGUCCCGUGCAGUUCCCACUGUCUGGCUUUUCCAGGACUCACCCGUUGCCCAGUUGGCCUUGUAGAAAAUUCUCUGGUUUUAGGGAAUUUUGUGUUGGUCACUUUCUGCCCCAGUUCAUCCCCAACCAUGGCGGCUUUGUAACCUCCUGGGGGAGGUGCCCUCGGGAGCUGCUUUCUCUUCCCUGAAAUAAAUUCCAGCCUAGUUUUGCAUGCUGGAGCACAGAUCCACAGGUCUAACUGGAUCAGUAAAAAAGACUUCUCACUAUGGAGUAGCAAGGACACCAAAUGCAGAAGCAAGACAGUCCUCAGCCCAGAUCCCAGCCCUGUCACCUGCUGACCCCGUGGCUUCUGGAUUUUGAGACCUGUCUCCUCAUUUAUACAAUGGAAAGUAUCCAUACUUCCCAAGUCCUGCGAAGUCAAUGAGGUAACAUGUAUCAAGUCCAUAGCAGAGCAUCUGACAUGCACUCCGUGUGCAGCAUAUGGAAAAGCGGUAGUACUGGUGCUUGUCAUGUAACUGAAGUUAAACGCCUGUCGUGUCACCAUAACUAUUAAAGUAAGUCACCCUGAGAAAUCGUAGCCUUCUUGCACAAAUGUCACUGCUCAUGCAGCCAUUCUAGUAAUUGUCCUCAAGAGAGGUAUUUAUUUAAAACACACGUAUGCAUGUGUACAAUAUGCAUGUGCACAAGUGUGUAGGUGCAUGCACGCGUGCACACACACACACACACUCACACACACACACACGGUUGCUUUCAGAGUCUGUAUCAGUUCCCUUGGUUGUAUUAACAAAACACAAACUGAGUGAUUUAGAUAGCAAAGACAUUUUGCUUGCAGUUCUAGAGGCUUUGAAUUUGAGAUCAAGGAACCAACAUGGUAGAAGAUCAGAGAGGACUCUGCCCCUGCCUGUGUGGUUAGCGUCUCCUCACCUGGGGGAGACAGAAAAAACUAUCCUUCCUGCUAAGUGUAAGAAUCACAUCAGAUCCACAGAACCACUUGCCACACACUGGUGAUUAGGGCUUUAAAUGGUGUGUGUGUGUGUGUGUGUGUGUGUGUGUGCGCG
rnacentral:lncRNA from 1 species